GGGGACGUAGCUCAGCUGGGAGAGCGCAACGCUGGCAGUGUUGAGGUCGUCAGUUCGAUCCUGAUCGUCUCCACCA
rnacentral:tRNA from 1 species